UACAGAGGGGGCAAGCGUUGUUCGGAAUUACUGGGCGUAAAGGGCGCGUAGGUGGCCUUCUAAGUUGAACGUGAAAUCCCUGGGCUCAACCCCGGAACUGCGUCCAAGACUGGGAGGCUUGAAUCCGGGAGAGGGAUGCGGAAUUCCAGGUGUAGCGGUGAAAUGCGUAGAUAUCUGGAGGAACACCGGUGGCGAAGGCGGCAUCCUGGACCGGUAUUGACACUGAGGCGCGAAAGCCAGGGGAGCAAACGGG
rnacentral:rRNA from 1 species